GGUUGAUACAUUGAUGGAAAUUAUGCAAUCUGGGGAAGCUGAAUUCGAGUUUGAUCGUAGACAUGUCAAAGCUAUUUUGUUGGACUUGUUGGUAGCUUCAAUGGAUACUUCAUCAACAUCAAUUGAAUGGAUAUUAUCUGAACUUUUAAAACAUCCUAAUGUAAUGAAGAAACUUCAAAGUGAGUUGGAUAAUGUAUUUGAUCAAAAGGGGAUUGUAGAAGAAAAAGACCUGGAAAAUCU
rnacentral:misc_RNA from 1 species